rnacentral:rRNA from 1 species
GUGUCAUACUAAAUCCUAUUAUAUAAAUUAUUAAAAAACUAUUAAUAUAUUACUCCUAAUAACCAACUAAAAUUAAAGUACUGAAAAGGAAAAAAUAUCAAUUUAAAGUAGUGAUAUCCCACGUACCUUGUGCAUUAUGGUUUUACAAGCUAAAAAUUAAAUAUAUGUUCCCGAAUCCUACGCGAGCUGCCUUCAUAUAGCUAAGAGCCCACUACUAGUUGUAGCAACAACUUUAGAAAAUAUGAUAGCAGAGGCUACAUACCACCCGCGCUAGAAAAUCGCUGGUUUUCAAUAAACCUUAUUAAUUAAAACAUGUAAAAAUAUUUUACACUGUAAGAUUUCAGAGGAUAAGCCCUGUAAUCAUAAGCUAAUAUUUAAUAAUACUACAAAUUAGGCCUAAAAACAGCCACCUUAAGUACUUUAUCGUAUUUAAUAUAUUUAAUUAUUGAUCAACAUUGCACAAAUUAAUUGAAAAUUAGGAAACCCUAUUAAUCCUAAAUUACUAUGUAAAAAUAAGUAUUAGAAAACAACAAACAUUAAUAUUAAAAAUAAAAUCUAAGUUAACAUAUAAACACUUAUAAAGGAACUCGGCAAACACUUAUUU